UCUGGCAAGAAGGCUGCAGGGAGGAGAGCUGUCCCAGAGACAGGAACAGGGUUCUGGCUCCAGCCCACCCAUAUGCUGAAGAAGACAGAGAAGUAGAAGCAGCCUUUGGUCUUUGUCCCCAGGAGACUGUUUCCAGUUGCGGAAUAUGGGUUAGUGCUGCUAUGAAAUGGAGUCCCAAGCUCAUUAUGCAAUAAAUCAGAAAAGGCAAGCUACUCUCGUGGGACUGAAAUGCUGCUUUCUGGACCAGAAUGGUUUCAGAAAAGCUAAACAUUAAGCUUUUUAUCUGAACCAAGCUAUGUGAGGCUCUCCCAUCACUUGUUAGUAGCCUGGUUUUUCACCUCCAGGGACUUCAGUUCAAAUCCUGGUUUAGGUCACAGUGAGAAUGUGAGUUUGGUGGUUUGCAUCCUCGUGGACUUCUGCCAACAGUGAAAAACCACCAUAGAGUCCUGCACAACUGGAAAGUUCUGCUGAAGAGAAAGCCUGGGCUGGAGUACCAGAGGUCCUUACAAGCCAGGACAGAAGGGGAACGCCACGGCUGCAUGGAGAGUUGGGAACAGCACCUGACACAAAGAAGUCCAGGGACAAGCAGUAUAAAUUCCCUGCUGGCUUAAACUGGGACAUAUUCAUCACUUGUCCAAACUCAACAAGUUUGUCAAACUAAUUUUGAAACAAUAACUUCACCUACUAUUCCAAAAAAUUUGAUGAGAACCUCAUACUGGGCAAUGGUGACAAGGAAAGCAAUCUCAGGCACUGCACUUUAAAUUAAAUGGCUUGGAAUGUAACCAUCUUCCCACAGAAAAUAGCUGCUAGAGAAACGAUUUGUUGUACAAAAAUUUUUCUGUAUGAAGGUGUAUUUAAAAGUUUGAUACUGUUGAUCUCAA